AUGCUUGCUUUGGCAGCAUAUAUACUAAAAUGGAAUGAUCCAGAGAAGAUUAGCAUGACCCCUACACAAGGAUGAUACACAAAUUGGUGAAUUAUUCCAUAUUUAA